GCGCUUGUAGCUCAACGGAUAGAGCAUCUGACUACGGAUCAGAAGGUUGGGGGUUCGAGUCCCUCCAAGCGCA
rnacentral:tRNA from 2 species